GGGGACCUUCGCCGGGCAAGACGGAUGAGGAGGUGCACCACCGAUUCUAGGCAUCAGGACGUUGWGGCUAUCCUCAUUGGAAGGUCGCAUCAUCCCAAUGCYGGAAGAGGUGGUCGARCUGUGACAACCGGCCUGAGAACGAAAAUUGUUGGAUACAGAAUCACGGUGUGCCCACCGUGUCACCGGYGAGAAGCAGUCUGGCGGCCGAAAGGCUGYUGGUUCUUCCACGUCGUUGGCGUAUGGGUGCAAAAAUAUGGGAUAUAUAGUUGCCUGUUCUCGCGCUCUGUGGACUUUCGGUCGUCGUCCUCAUAGCAGACCCGUUGUGCUAAGCACGAUGGGAUGCUCGGGCGUCUUGACCGUUGUGGCUACGCUGGCGCAUGAGAUGUUGUGGACAUGUGGCUGCCUGGAGGCCCCCCGUCGUUGUGCGGCCGACUCYAGGUGCAGUGUCCUUUCAAUUGUAUGGGUUUCAAAACCUGUGUCGUUGACGAGUGCUUGCGUUCUGCUACCCGUUCUGCGGGAAGUAGAGCUUCGUACAACUUACCUUCGUCGCGUGCGCCCUUUGGGCGUGUCGCGUCGAUCACCUAGCGCUUGCGGUGUUGCCUYGCGGCGUCARCCAUCUAGGYCGGCAUCGUCUAGGACACCUCGCAAUCGCUCUUGGUCUCGGAUGAUGCUCACUGUAUAGGCUCGUGGCAUUUUGGUGCCUCGUUCCUCCCA
rnacentral:misc_RNA from 1 species